AGGACGAACGCUGGCGGCGUGCCUAACACAUGCAAGUCGAACGAGGUCCAUCCGGUCGCAAGACCGGUGAAGACCUAGUGGCGAACGGGUGCGGAACACGUGAGCAACCUGCCCCGAAGACCGGGAUAACAGCGGGAAACUGCUGCUAAUACCGGAUGUCCCCACCGGUCCCGCAUGGGAUUGUGAGGAAAGGAUUCCGCUUCGGGAGGGGCUCGCGGCCUAUCAGCUUGUUGGUGAGGUAACGGCUCACCAAGGCGACGACGGGUAGCUGGUCUGAGAGGACGAUCAGCCACACUGGGACUGAGACACGGCCCAGACUCCUACGGGAGGCAGCAGUGGGGAAUCUUGCGCAAUGGGCGAAAGCCUGACGCAGCAACGCCGCGUGGGGGAUGAAGGCCUUCGGGUUGUAAACCCUUUCAGUGGGACGAAUGACGGUACCACAGAAGAGCCCGGCCAACUACGCGCCAGCAGCCGC
rnacentral:rRNA from 1 species